rnacentral:rRNA from 1 species
GUAGAGUGUCUAUUUUUAGUAGAUAGUAAAUUCCCUUCGGGGUCUUUCUGCAAGGUGCUGCAUGGUUGUCGUCAGCUCGUGCCGUGAGGUGUCGGUUAAGUCCCAUAACGAGCGCAACCCUUAUCGUUAGUUGCCAUCUGGUAAUGCAGGGGACUCUAGCGAAACUGCCACCGUAAGGUGAGAGGAAGGUGGGAUGACGUCAAAUCAGCACGGCCCUUAUGUCCAGGGCUACACACGUGUUACAAUGGUCGGUACAGAGGGCAGCUACCUGGUGACAGGAUGCUAAUCUCGAAAACCGGUCUCAGUUCGGAUCGAAGUCUGCAACUCGACUUCGUGAAGCUGGAUUCGCUAGUAAUCGCGCAUCAGCUAUGGCGCGGUGAAUACGUUCCCGGGCCUU